GACGAACGCUAGCGGCGUGCUUAACACAUGCAAGUCGAGCGGUAAGGCCCUUUCGGGGGUACACGAGCGGCGAACGGGUGAGUAACACGUGGGUGACCUGCCCUCAGCUCUGGGAUAAGCCUGGGAAACUGGGUCUAAUACUGGAUAUGACUCCACGGUGCAUGUCGUGGGGUGGAAAGCCUUGUGCGGCUGAGGAUGGGCCCGCGGCCUAUCAGCUUGUUGGUGGGGUGAGGCCUACCAAGGCGACGACGGGUAGCCGGCCUGAGAGGGCGACCGGCCACACUGGGACUGAGACACGGCCCAGACUCCUACGGGAGGCAGCAGUGGGGAAUCUUGCGCAAUGGGCGAAAGCCUGACGCAGCGACGCCGCGUGAGGGAUGACGGCCU
rnacentral:rRNA from 1 species